rnacentral:lncRNA from 1 species
GGCUCAUCUCUUUCCUCAUCCUUCUGAUCUUUUUGAGUUUCUGCAAAUAAAUUUGGACAGGGCCAGUCAUCAUAAAAAGUUGCUUCUUGACACGUUACCAACCCAGGGGCCUGUUUCAACACAGGGACAUAAGUCUUCUCAGCGUGAGAACAGGAUAGUGUCAGAAUAUUCCAGGAGGCCUCGGGUUGUGUCUUCUGAAAAGGGACCAGGCUUCCUUUCCUGAGUCAUAGGGCAGACUGUCUCUGAAUUGGCAGAUCAAUACAACAAAGUUCUCUUCCCUGAACCUGGGCAAAGAGUUCAACGCAUUCUUCCCGAGGUCAUGAGGAGCUCAUCUAGCUGCUUUCUGGAAAGGCUGUGGCAAGAUUCAGCUCUUAUUCCAUCAGAUAUGCUGGCUGCUGUUGGUUUGGAGGAAGUUCUACACCGAGACUAGACUGAUGGAUGGAAUUUAAUCACUCCUAAAGAGGAAAGAAUCUAUGGUGCCACCUAGAGAACAGGAUUCUUGCUAUUCAAAGUGGUGGGGGGUGCCAGGGUUCACACCACGCCCUGGGUGGUAAGUUUCCAGACACAUUCAAG